rnacentral:rRNA from 1 species
UAGUCGAAAAUGUUGUCUCUCUUGAGUGGAUCCUGAGUACGACGGAGCACGUGAAAUUCCGUCGGAAUCUGGGAGGACCAUCUCCUAAGGCUAAAUACUCUCUAGUGACCGAUAGUGAACCAGUACCGUGAGGGAAAGGUGAAAAGCACCCCGGAAGGGGAGUGAAAUAGAACCUGAAACCGUGUGCUUACAAGUAGUCAGAGCCCGUUAAUGGGUGAUGGCGUGCCUUUUGUAGAAUGAACCGGCGAGUUACGAUUUGAUGCAAGGUUAAGCAGUAAAUGUGGAGCCGUAGCGAAAGCGAGUCUGAAUAGGGCGUUUAGUAUUUGGUCGUAGACCCGAAACCAGGUGAUCUACCCUUGGUCAGGUUGAAGUUCAGGUAACACUGAAUGGAGGACCGAACCGACUUACGUUGAAAAGUGAGCGGAUGAACUGAGGGUAGCGGAGAAAUUCCAAUCGAACCUGGAGAUAGCUGGUUCUCUCCGAAAUAGCUUUAGGGCUAGCCUCAAGUGAUGAUUAUUGGAGGUAGAGCACUGUUUGGACGAGGGGCCCCUCUCGGGUUACCGAAUUCAGACAAACUCCGAAUGCCAAUUAAUUUAACUUGGGAGUCAGAACAUGGGUGAUAAGGUCCGUGUUCGAAAGGGAAACAGCCCAGACCACCAGCUAAGGUCCCAAAAUAUAUGUUAAGUGGAAAAGGAUGUGGCGUUGCCCAGACAACUAGGAUGUUGGCUUAGAAGCAGCCAUCAUUUAAAGAGUGCGUAAUAGCUCACUAGUCGAGUGACACUGCGCCGAAAAUGUACCGGGGCUAAACAUAUUACCGAAGCUGUGGAUUGUCCUUUGGACAAUGGUAGGAGAGCGUUCUAAGGGCGUUGAAGCAUGAUCGUAAGGACAUGUGGAGCGCUUAGAAGUGAGAAUGCCGGUGUGAGUAGCGAAAGACGGGUGAGAAUCCCGUCCACCGAUUGACUAAGGUUUCCAGAGGAAGGCUCGUCCGCUCUGGGUUAGUCGGGUCCUAAGCUGAGGCCGACAGGCGUAGGCGAUGGAUAACAGGUUGAUAUUCCUGUACCACCUAUAAUCGUUUUAAUCGAUGGGGGGACGCAGUAGGAUAGGCGAAGCGUGCGAUUGGAUUGCACGUCUAAGCAGUAAGGCUGAGUAUUAGGCAAAUCCGGUACUCGUUAAGGCUGAGCUGUGAUGGGGAGAAGACAUUGUGUCUUCGAGUCGUUGAUUUCACACUGCCGAGAAAAGCCUCUAGAUAGAAAAUAGGUGCCCGUACCGCAAACCGACACAGGUAGUCAAGAUGAGAAUUCUAAGGUGAGCGAGCGAACUCUCGUUAAGGAACUCGGCAAAAUGACCCCGUAACUUCGGGAGAAGGGGUGCUCUUUAGGGUUAACGCCCAGAAGAGCCGCAGUGAAUAGGCCCAAGCGACUGUUUAUCAAAAACACAGGUCUCUGCUAAACCGUAAGGUGAUGUAUAGGGGCUGACGCCUGCCCGGUGCUGGAAGGUUAAGAGGAGUGGUUAGCUUCUGCGAAGCUACGAAUCGAAGCCCCAGUAAACGGCGGCCGUAACUAUAACGGUCCUAAGGUAGCGAAAUUCCUUGUCGGGUAAGUUCCGACCCGCACGAAAGGCGUAACGAUUUGGGCACUGUCUCAACGAGAGACUCGGUGAAAUCAUAGUACCUGUGAAGAUGCAGGUUACCCGCGACAGGACGGAAAGACCCCGUGGAGCUUUACUGUAGCCUGAUAUUGAAAUUCGGCACAGCUUGUACAGGAUAGGUAGGAGCCUUUGAAACGUGAGCGCUAGCUUACGUGGAGGCGCUGGUGGGAUACUACCCUAGCUGUGUUGGCUUUCUAACCCGCACCACUUAUCGUGGUGGGAGACAGUGUCAGGCGGGCAGUUUGACUGGGGCGGUCGCCUCCUAAAAGGUAACGGAGGCGCUCAAAGGUUCCCUCAGAAUGGUUGGAAAUCAUUCAUAGAGUGUAAAGGCAUAAGGGAGCUUGACUGCGAGACCUACAAGUCGAGCAGGGUCGAAAGACGGACUUAGUGAUCCGGUGGUUCCGCAUGGAAGGGCCAUCGCUCAACGGAUAAAAGCUACCCCGGGGAUAACAGGCUUAUCUCCCCCAAGAGUUCACAUCGACGGGGAGGUUUGGCACCUCGAUGUCGGCUCAUCGCAUCCUGGGGCUGUAGUCGGUCCCAAGGGUUGGGCUGUUCGCCCAUUAAAGCGGUACGCGAGCUGGGUUCAGAACGUCGUGAGACAGUUCGGUCCCUAUCCGUCGUGGGCGUAGGAAAUUUGAGAGGAGCUGUCCUUAGUACGAGAGGACCGGGAUGGACAUACCUCUGGUGUACCAGUUGUCGUGCCAACGGCAUAGCUGGGUAGCUAUGUGUGGACGGGAUAAGUGCUGAAAGCAUCUAAGCAUGAAGCCCCCCUCAAGAUGAGAUUUCCCAACUUCGGUUAUAAGAUCCCUCAAAGAUGAUGAGGUUAAUAGGUUCGAGGUGGAAGCAUGGUGACAUGUGGAGCUGACGAAUACUAAUCGAUCGAAGACUUAAUCAA